rnacentral:rRNA from 1 species
GACGAACGCUGGCGGCGUGCCUAAUACAUGCCAGUCGAGCGAAGUUUUUCUGGUGCUUGCACUAGAAAAACUUAGCGGCGAACGGGUGAGUAACGCGUAAAGAACCUGCCUCAUAGACUGGGACAACUAUUGGAAACGAUAGCUAAUACCGGAUAACAGCAUUAACUGCAUGGUUGAUGUUUAAAAGUUGGUUUUGCUAACACUAUGAGAUGGCUUUGCGGUGCAUUAGCUAGUUGGUGGGGUAAAGGCCUACCAAGGCGACGAUGCAUAGCCGACCUGAGAGGGUGAUCGGCCACACUGGGACUGAGACACGGCCCAGACUCCUACGGGAGGCAGCAGUAGGGAAUCUUCCGCAAUGGGCGAAAGCCUGACGGAGCAACGCCGCGUGAGUGAAGAAGGAUUUCGGUUCGUAAAGCUCUGUUGUUAGGGAAGAAUGAUUGUGUAGUAACUAUACACAGUAGAGACGGUACCUAACCAGAAAGCCACGGCUAACUACGUG